UAGCUCAGUUGGUAGAGCAGCUCGCUCUUAACGAGACGGUCGUAGGUUCGAAUCCUAC
rnacentral:tRNA from 1 species